UGUUCUGCUAAAACCGCAGAGCUGAGAUUAGGCAGAAGAAAAAGUUGCUUGCUUGUUGGCCGGACUCCUGCAAGAGUUUCCCAUGGAUUGUGAUUCCUGUCUGAACCUUGAUGCAUGGGAUGAGUCUUGCUCCAGUUCCAAGACUAAAUUGACCGCCACUGAAUUUCAACUUGAGCACGGAGACACCGUUCAAGUGAAAGGGACGAUCUUGCCCAAUGCCAAAGAGU